rnacentral:rRNA from 1 species
AACGCUAGCUACAGGCUUAACACAUGCAAGUCGAGGGGCAGCACUAGGUAGCAAUACUGAGGUGGCGACCGGCGCACGAGUGCGUAACGCGUAUCCAACCUUCCCGAUACUCUUGGAUAGCCUUCCGAAAGGGAGAUUAAUACAAGAUGGUGUUUCAGUUUCGCAUGUUAUUGAAACUAAAGAUUUAUCGGUAUCGGAUGGGGAUGCGUGACAUUAGAUAGUAGGCGGGGUAACGGCCCACCUAGUCUACGAUGUCUAGGGGUUCUGAGAGGAAGGUCCCCCACACUGGAACUGAGACACGGUCCAGACUCCUACGGGAGGCAGCAGUGAGGAAUAUUGGUCAAUGGUCGGAAGACUGAACCAGCCAAGUAGCGUGAAGGAUGAAGGUUCUAUGGAUUGUAAACUUCUUUUAUACGGGAAUAAAACCUCCCACGUGUGGGAGCUUGUAUGUACCGUAUGAAUAAGCAUCGGCUAACUCCGUGCCAGCAGCCGCGGUAAUACGGAGGAUGCGAGCGUUAUCCGGAUUUAUUGGGUUUAAAGGGAGCGUAGACGGGAUGUUAAGUCAGUUGUGAAAGGCUGCGGCUCAACCGCAGCACUGCAGUUGAUACUGGCGUCCUUGAGUGCGGUUGAGGUAUGUGGAAUUCGUGGUGUAGCGGUGAAAUGCUUAGGUAUCACGAAGAACUCCGAUUG